AGGAGGCUUGGGAUACUCGGAACAACGUCGCGGAAGAAGACGUGACAGGUGGCGGCAUGGAGGGCAAUGAAGGAGGUGGAGAUGAGGAGGAACUUGGAGAGGAGAUCGAUGGGGGAGGCAGAGAUCGGGCUUGGAGCAGAGAGUUGGACGAGGGAGGCAAGGUGGUCGUCGAGGUGGAUUAUGCCAGAUGGGGAGUAGGCGCUGAGGGAUCAAAGGCUUUGAGAGAGACGAAAGAGUUUCAAUUGAAAUCCUUCGAUUUUGUCUAAAUUAUAUAUUUCCCAUGCGUUUCUGUUCCUAGCUUUCACA
rnacentral:lncRNA from 1 species